CCACUUUCUGCUGAGCUUCAGGACUCUUCCAUUUUGCUGAAGGAGUAUCAGGAGAAGUGGCUUUUAGUGGAGAUUAAGGACUGGACCAAGUUAAUCCAUUUCUGCAAAAUGCCCAAGGAGCCAGCAUGACUUGGAAAUGAAGGACAAAAGGGACCCUCUGAAGAUUCAAAGACCUCUCAGGACAGUUGAUGCCAAGAAAUGGGUGGAUGUGAGGUUUCCAUCAGGACAAGAGACAAGAGUUCCGGAAGGUUGGGACUGUUUGGGAAUUGGGGCAGGGACAUGGCAAUCCCUGCCAUGUUGGCCCUUGGCCCUCAGCUCACUGGGGAGCUCUGCGUGGCGCCUGUUCCCAGGCAGCCGGACCACUGUGAUGCUCUCUGAUCCUGCCUUCCUGCCUGGCUCUGUGCAUCCCUUUGACCUCAGCUAGGUUGGAGGUGAGAUCUUCAACGAGCCUUUGUCUUCUUCUAUCCUGACCUCCCAGGGUUGCACUAUACAAGGUGGUGGAACAGGCUGAAGGUUAAGACUUCGGCAGCAGUCCUCAACCUUGGCUGCACGUUGGCACCAUCUGGAGAGCU
rnacentral:lncRNA from 1 species